UACGUAGGGGGCAAGCGUUAUCCGGAAUUAUUGGGCGUAAAGCGCGCGCAGGCGGUUUCUUAAGUCUGCUGUGAAAGCCCACGGCUCAACCGUGGAGGGUCAUUGGAAACUGGGGAGCUUGAGUGCAGAAGAGAAAAGCGGAAUUCCAGGUGUAGCGGUGAAAUGCGUAGAGAUCUGGAGGAACACCGAUGGCGAAGGCAGCCUUCUGGGCCAACACUGACGCUCAUGCACGAAAGCGUGGGGAGCAAACAGG
rnacentral:rRNA from 1 species